AUGCUCUUUGCGGAUGAUGUGGUGCUAGUUGACGAUAGUCGGACGGGGGUAAAUAGGAAGUUAGAGUUAUGGAGACAAACCUUGGAAUCGAAAGGGUUUAGGCUUAGUAGAACUAAAACCGAGUACAUGAUGUGCGGUUUCAGUACUACUAGCUGUGAGGAGGAGGAGGAGGUUAGCCUUGAUGGCCAGGUGGUACCUCGGAAGGACACCUUUCGGUAUUUGGGGUCAAUGUUGCAGGAGGAUGGGGGUAUUGAUGAAGAUGUGAACCAUCGAAUCAAAGCCGGAUGGAUGAACUGGCGCCAAGCUUCUGGCAUUCUCUGUGACAAGAGAGUGCCACAAAAGCUAAAAGGCAAGUUCUACAGGACGGCGGUUCGACCCGCAAUGUUGUAUGGCGCGGAGUGUUGGCCGACUAAAAGGCGACAUGUUCAACAGUUAGGUGUGGCGGAGAUGCGUAUGUUGAGAUGGAUGUGUGGCCACACGAGGAAGGAUCGAGUCCGGAAUGAUGAUAUACGAGAUAGAGUUGGGGUAGCAAAAAUUGAGGAGAAGCUUGUCCAACAUCGUUUGAGAUGGUUUGGGCAUAUUCAGCGCAGGCCUCCAGAAGCUCCAGUGCAUAGCGGACGGCUAAAGCAUGCGGAGAAUGUCAAGAGAGGGUGGGGUCGACCGAUUUUGACAUGGGAGGAGUCCGUUAAGAGAGACAUGAAGGAUUGGAGUAUCGACAAAGAGCUAGCUAUGGACAGGGGUGCGUGGAAGCUUGCUAUCCAUGUGCCAGAGCCAUGA
rnacentral:rRNA from 1 species